CUUAUUUCUUCACCAUCACCGGCGUCCAAAACAACAACGUUAUAAAUUCAAAUCUGUGUUUAUUCAGGGCAGAUUGCGUUAUUUAUUUUUGCUUUCUAUUAUAAGAUUCAUUGUAAUCUUAUUCAGGUUCAUUGUAAGCUUGGCUGUUGCUUUGUGUUGUCACACAUUCUAAGUGAUUCUAAGUGGUUAUCCUAAUUGUUUCUCCGAUUGGUUAAGUUGAAGUACCUACACCUAAAGCAGGCAAGUUGAAGUGCUGGUCCACGACCCAUGGUUCAACCAUGUUAUCUGCCAGAGUUGCAAUGGUUCAGGUCCUCCGCUCCCUCUCCUCUAGCACUCCUGCUGCUUGUAAAUUCCGUCUUCCGGAAGAGGCAAAACAGGAAUUCAGUAAUCCGGCUGCCAAGUACACCACUGCUCAAGAUAUUCCGGAGAAGGGGAAAAUCUAUGAUAAGAAACCAUUUAUGAUUGAAGUGAAGAAGGGAAAAACGUACAUGUGGUGUGCCUGUGGGCAUAGCCGAAAACAGCCCCUGUGCGACGGCAGUCACCGCAACCCAUUCAAGGCCAUCCAACAACGACCGGUGAAAUACGUGGCGGAUGCCGACAAGGAGGUAUGGUUCUGUAUGUGCAAGCAGACCGACCACCGGCCCUUCUGUGACGGCUCGCACAAGCAUCCCGACGUCCAGGCCGCGGUCAGGGGCCACUGAGACGUCCAGUGUCCCAUGCUGGUGCCCCGGGGCUGAUGGAGUUGUUGGGGUAGUGUCUGUCCUAGAGCUGAGUAUGGUGAGGAGUGGUUGGUAUAUGCUUCAGGAGAAGCCUGACAGUGGGAACUUGAUAGCAGGAGGGUGAGUGCUGAUGUGAAAGCUAGAUACAUAGGUGCCAAUGGGGAGUUACUGCCGGGAAAGUGUUGAAAUGAAUGAGACAUGGAUGAAAUCGUGGUGUGAUUGUGCUGUUUUGAUACGAUUUUAGAUCCGAUAUCGUGAUGGAUGUACGAUCAAGGGGGGGGGAGGGGAAGGAACGCGGGACGAAGUACGGUGAAAAGUGAUAGAUAUAAUGAAUGUCGGGGAGGUGUAUUAUCUGUCAUUCUAUUACCAGUAUUGACUCUCUACAUCGUAGAUCGUCUCAAUCGUUAGUGUCACUGUGUGCCCAUUGCAUAGGUAUGCAUCUUCCGAAAUCAAUAUACCGUCAGCUGUCAAA